CCUACGGGUGGCAGCAGUGGGGAAUCUUGCGCAAUGGGCGAAAGCCUGACGCAGCGACGCCGCGUGAGGGAUGAAGGUCUUCGGAUCGUAAAACUCUGUCAGCAGGGAAGAACGGUCACUGUGCUAAUCAGCAGUGAAUUGACGGUACCUGCAAAGGAAGCACCGGCUAACUCCGUGCCAGCAGCCGCGGUAAUACGGAGGGGGCGAGCGUUAAUCGGAAUUAUUGGGCGUAAAGCGCUCGUAGGCGGUAUGUCAAGUCAGGGGUGAAAUCCCCGGGCUCAACGUGGGAACUGCCUUUGAAACUGGGAGACUUGAGUGUGUGAGAGGAUAGUGGAAUUCCAGGUGUAGGGGUGAAAUCCGUAGAUAUCUGGAGGAACAUCAGUGGCGAAGGCGACUAUCUGGCACAUAACUGACGCUGAGGAGCGAAAGCGUGGGUAGCAAACAGGAUUAGAUACCCCUGUAGUC
rnacentral:rRNA from 1 species